rnacentral:rRNA from 1 species
AGAGUUUGAUCCUGGCUCAGGAUGAACGCUGGCGGCAUGCCUAAUACAUGCAAGUCGAACGAGAGGAAGGAAAGCUUGCUUUCCUGAAUCUAGUGGCGAACGGGUGAGUAACACGUAGGUAACCUGCCCAUGUGCCCGGGAUAACUUCUGGAAACGGAUGCUAAAACCGGAUAGGUAGCAGACAAGCAUUUGACUGCUAUUAAAGUGGCCUUGGCCAUGAACAUGGAUGGACCUGCGGUGCAUUAGCUAGUUGGUGAGGUAACGGCCCACCAAGGCGACGAUGCAUAGCCGGCCUGAGAGGGCGGACGGCCACAUUGGGACUGAGACACGGCCCAAACUCCUACGGGAGGCAGCAGUAGGGAAUUUUCGUCAAUGGGGGGAACCCUGAACGAGCAAUGCCGCGUGAGUGAGGAAGGUCUUCGGAUCGUAAAGCUCUGUUGUAAGAGAAAAACGGCACUCAUAGGGAAUGAUGAGUGAGUGAUGGUAUCUUACCAGAAAGUCACGGCUAACUACGUGCCAGCAGCCGCGGUAAUACGUAGGUGGCGAGCGUUAUCCGGAAUGAUUGGGCGUAAAGGGUGCGUAGGUGGCAGAUCAAGUCUGGAGUAAAAGGUAUGGGCUCAACCCGUACUGGCUCUGGAAACUGAUCAGCUAGAGAACAGAAGAGGACGGCGGAACUCCAUGUGUAGCGGUAAAAUGCGUAGAUAUAUGGAAGAACACCGGUGGCGAAGGCGGCCGUCUGGUCUGGAUUCUGACACUGAAGCACGAAAGCGUGGGGAGCAAAUAGGAUUAGAUACCCUAGUAGUCCACGCCGUAAACGAUGAGAACUAGGUGUUGGGGGAAUAACUCAGUGCCGCAGUUAACGCAGUAAGUUCUCCGCCUGGGGAGUAUGCACGCAAGUGUGAAACUCAAAGGAAUUGACGGGGGCCCGCACAAGCGGUGGAGUAUGUGGUUUAAUUCGAAGCAACGCGAAGAACCUUACCAGGCCUUGACAUCCCUUGCAGAGGUAUAGAGAUAUAUCCGAGGUUAUCAAGGAGACAGGUGGUGCAUGGUUGUCGUCAGCUCGUGUCGUGAGAUGUUGGGUUAAGUCCCGCAACGAGCGCAACCCUU